AUUUGAAUCUUUGGUGUUUUGCAAUUUGCAUUUUACUGUGAAUUUUAUCGCAUCUCGUUUAUUUUAACACGUAGUAAAGAACAAAGCGAACAUCGUUGUUGAAUUAUUUUAUAAAUUAAAUUUUAAUAAACAAAUUCUUUUAUGCAACAAUUGUAGUGCAAGUUUGUGAUUGUGUUUCUUGCCGCUUAGCGCUUUCGUUGAAGAAAAUUUUAAUGUAUUAAAGUUAAUAUUUACAACUGCUGCUAUAAAAAAAUAUUAAAAAGUUAUAACAAUGCAACGACAAUUCACCUCUGGCAGUCGCCAAGCGCCUGACCCAUUUGACCAAUUUUUGGAGGAGAACAAUUUUUAUCGCAAGCACACAGCACGCGAUGCUUCAUGCCUGUUUCGUGUGAUUUCGGAGCAAAUGUAUGACACGCAGCUGCAUCAUUUGGCCAUACGCAAAAAAUGCGUACGCUAUAUGCGCAAGCAUCGUGAUUAUUUUGCGCCGCUCGUUGAACGAGAUUUGGAUGAGUAUCUAGAUGAUAUGUCGAAACCUAAAACAUACGGGACGCUGAUCGAACUGCAGGCGGUUGGAUAUAUGUUCCAACGAAAUGUGUUGCUGUUUGAACCCUUUAACUUGGGCAAUUUUUAUAGUUCUCGCUCUUACUUCAAUGAUGUAUUUCGAGUAUUCUACACUCCCGAAAGACAUUUCGAUUCUGUUUUUACGUGUGACUAUAUAAAAGAUGCAGCUAUUUGCCAGGCCAUAUGCUACGAAAUCCUCUACAAAGAUUUAUAUAAGUUGCCGGAUGUUGCAUUUGCCGUUGAGCACAUGUUACAUUCGCCAACUUUGGAUGCUAUGGAGUACACAUCCGAAAACAAUGACGACGGCUACUGCACUCGUAUAGUGUUAACGGAUGGGCGUAGUUUUCACUUUGAUUUGCCACAUGAAACUAAUUGCAUUUUAGAAAAUUAUGAACUUUGCCAUUUCCAUCAUACGAAUUUUCCACGUUUAUCGGAUGAUUUGCAACGCGAAAUGAAAAUACACACAAAUUGCGAUGAUUAUGAAAAGUCCGCAUUGUGUAAGACGGCGGAAUCAUUGCUCCCCCAUAAAUAUAUAUCUUGUGUGCGCCAAUUGUUGCAAGAAGGUAUAACACCGUUUCCGUAUAAAGUUGCCAAAGCGUUGGAUCCAAACAUGUAUCGGAAUAUCGAAUUUGAUGCCUGGAAUGAACAGCGUAAAGAGCAAAAACUUCAAAACUGGUAUAAUGGCGAUACAAAUUUUAAGUUGAUACGCUGCCAGCAAACACGAGUUCAUAAAAUCUUCCAGGUGGGAGCCAAAUGUCAUGUGAAGCUAUGCAAAUCCGAAAAUGAUGUAUACACUUGUCAUAUACAAGAGAUUGCAGUUGACAAAGGCUACUGCAUUGUUUUUAUCGAACAAUUAGGCGAAAAGCGUUUGGUACCGUACGAGUCAUUAACUCCGCUGCCACCGGAACAAUUUAAGCCCUGGACGCUGCCAUAUCGCUUUCAGCGUCAUAUGCAAAAGUAUAGUUCUGUACGCUUGACACGUCACUACAAUUACCGUUUCAAACUGAACGGACAAUUUGCAUCUGCGCAUGAGUACUGUGCCGCCCCUUUAUCGCCCAAUAGUAAGUCAGCCGACUAUGUGCCUGGUAUAAUGGAUAGUGAUGUCAGUGAGAAAGACGAAAAACAGCAUUAUGUUUCAGCAGCUUCGCAUCAUCGUAACGGUUGCUACUAUAAAUUAAAACAAUAUACACAUUUUGAAAAUUUCCGUGCACAUACGGUUGAAUAUUGCGCAAUGCCACUAACGGUUGAGCAUGCGCCACGUGAGCAAGAAUCGAAAAGUGGCAAUGCUAAUGCAACGCCAUCGCAUGAGAAUCAAACCAAUGUGGCAGUACGCACCGUUGCACCAGAAACACGUAUAAAAACAGAAUCAAACGGGCAACAACAGCAGCAGCAACAACAACAACAACGCAUGGGAGCACCUGAAGAGUUGGUGGGUACUUUCAAUCCAAUAGAACAAUCGGCUGGCAUAGGCGCACCUGCAUUUAUUUUGCCUGAUGUUCAUUAUUUAUAUCCUGUACCUCAGUACGCGGCUGGUAUGCCGGAGGAAUACUAUACAUAUAGUUAUGAUCCUGCAAUGCAUCCACCACCCGCCACAGCACUAAUGCCAACCGGUUAUUAUAUGUAUCCACCACCAGGUGCUCCACCAGCAGCUUUUGCGCCGGCUCCUAAUAAUUUUUACAUGCCAACUGCUGCGCCAUUGCCACCACCACUCAUCACAGCGGCUACUGCACCGCAUCCACCAUCAGCGGUAGCACCUAAUAUCGCUGCUCCAUUUUAUCAAACUAAUACGCAUUUCGGUAGCAUGACACCAGCUGGUGCUGUCGAGACGCCUUCAAUGCAAAAUGCUACAACGCAAGCGUAUGAAACGCCUAUCACUCAUAAUCGAAGCAGUGGACAAACUCCAAAUAUGAACACACCAGUAACGGGUCGCAUUAAUUGGGAUGCUAAGAAAUCGGUAGAGGUGAGUGGCGUAGAUUUGCCAACUGACGUUGCCACCCUGCGGCACUUUUACAACCUGGGUUUGGAGUAUCAUCUGAUGCACAUGAAGCAACGUUGCAAUGAAGACAACGCAGCGAAAGCGACGGGACCACAAGGUGCCACAAAAGUGAAUGGCGGAAAUCAAAAUGAAGAUGUUACGUUAGAGCCAAAGCUUGAUUCUAACAAUAACAGCAUGCAGAAUCAAAAUUUGACUACACCGCAAACAAGCAACAUUAACGGUGGCAAUAACAUAUCGGGCGUUACACACACAACACAUAAUCAAAAUAGUAAUAAUAGUGGAACUGGUGGCGGCGGCGCCAAUAGUGGUAGUGGUAAAAGUGGUGGUGGUCACAUGCACAGGCGCUUUCCAUCGCGGUAUUACAACAGCAAUAAGGAGCGACCACUUUUUUUACGUAAUCAGAACAAUGCAAACAACCCUAAUGUGCAUAGCUCAAAUAACCACAAUCAAAGUGAUUACAAUAAUAGCAAUGGUAGUGUUGGCAAUAAGUAUGCCAGUUCGGUAAAAAGUAAUGGCGGUGGACACUAUAAUUCAAAUCGCAGCAAUACGCCAAAUUCAACACAUAGUCAUACGUCUGGUCACAAUGCAAAAGCUGUGAACCAAAACACCCCUGGCAUGGGUGGUGGUGUAGCCUCACUGGCGGUUUCAGUUGCCGAACAUGGCAUGCCAUCUCCGCAAGGAAACUUUGAUAACGCCAAUGGUGUUGGUAAAAUGAUAACACAUCCACAAAUGCCUGUAUACCAAACUCCGAAUGGCAACACUUUAAUGGCUGCACCUUACAAUCCGUACAAUGAAUUCAAUGGCGAUCCGUCUAUGUCGAUUGCUCCACCGAAUACGGCCGCCGGUGGUGGAAUCUUCCUCCACAUGCCAAUGCCAGCGCCAGCACAUACUUUUGGUAUUUACGCUCCCCCACAACCAGCAGCACCGCCAGGCGCUACUAUGGGCAUGCAUCCCACACCAACGUCCACAGCUGUAACCUACGGUGUAGCACCAAAUGGUGGUCCACCACAACAAUUUAUGCCAUCACCAUCAGAUGCAGUACCGAUACAAGCGCCAUCAAAUGGUUACUAUCCACCAGGAGAGCUUACAACCGUUGAGCCUAAUGGCACAAUACAUACUGGCGGCGACGGAUUACAGUUUCAAUGUAUACCGUAUCCUGGUACUGCUCCACCUCCACCAAUGCCUUUUUAUUACACAGCCGGUUCUGCGGUAGCGGCAGCCGGUGGUAUGCCAAUGAAUGGUAUUUCAACGGUACCACAACCGCAAUCUUCUACUGGUAGUGUUAAUGGAGGUGGCUGUGGUAAUUCAGCUGGUGUGCCAUCUGGACCGCAGGGCUACUGGUGUCAACCGCCAAAUGCUUUGCUACCACUACCAACAUCAACGCCACAAAUAAACGGCUCCUCUGCUUGCGUUUCAACAUCCAGCAACAAUAGCCCGCCAAAUAUGACCACAAACACUACAAAUAGCCGUCCACGUGACAGCAAAUAAAAACAAUUAAAAUUUCUUAUAAAACAUUACUAACUAACAGAUAUUUAUUUUUUCAACUAUAUUAAAAGCAAGUUUUUUUCGGAUAUAUUUUUCGCUCUUAUACGAUAUUAACUACAAUUGUUUAAAUAUUCACUAUAGUUAUAUAUUGUACAUCAAGUAAAGUGAAAUAGCCAAUGUAAUAUGAAAAAUGCAGUAAUGUCGCGAGAUACAUAUUAAUGAAAAAAUUUUAUGAAAAACGGAGGAAAAUAAGCUUACCGCGUUUAAAUUAAAGACCCAGUGUAAAAAUUUAAAGAUCUGCUUUCAAUUUGUUCGACUAUUACAACAUAGCAUCUUAUUAUAAAAUGUGCGCUUUCAUAAAAACAUUUAACUGCGUACGAGGUACUAUUGCUCGCAAAUGCCGAAAUUAUGGGAAACUGAACGGUUUAAUACGAAGUAAAAUAAAAAUUUUGGAUGCUGUGCUUUAAGCAAAAUAUUUUAUCUCUAUUGUCGAAUAUUGCAAACCGAAAAUUAGCCAUUGGCCUGCUUAUUUUACGCUUUUGGUACAAAUUAAUUAAAAUAAAACGCUCUAUAGUUGUGUGUGUUUAAUUUAUUUUAUAUUUAUUUAUUUGUAUAUUUAGAAAAAGUAAUUGUAAAAAUAAAUAAAAUGCUUAUUUUAAA